rnacentral:rRNA from 1 species
UACGGAGGGAGCUAGCGUUGUUCGGAAUUACUGGGCGUAAAGCGUACGUAGGCGGUUAUUCAAGUCAGAGGUGAAAGCCCGGGGCUCAACCCCGGAACUGCCUUUGAAACUAGGUAGCUAGAGUCUUGGAGAGGUUAGUGGAAUUCCGAGUGUAGAGGUGAAAUUCGUAGAUAUUCGGAAGAACACCAGUGGCGAAGGCGACUAACUGGACAAGUACUGACGCUGAGGUACGAAAGCGUGGGGAGCAAACAGG